AAUAGUUUGAUAUAGGAUUGUGACAAGUGUCAGUGUAGGAUAAUGCCACAUGAUAGUUUUAGGACAAAAGUAGUUAAUUAGUUAAUAAUUAGUUUUUAGUUAUUAUUUUUAAUUUAAAAAUAAUUAAAUAUCAAUAUUUUCUAGGAAACAUAUACAUCUAUAUAUUGGAUUUAAUUUAAAUUAACAAAUAAAGAAUUUAGAUUAGAACAUAAAUUAUUUGAAUAAUACUUGAAAAGUAAACACAUUUUUUUUUAAUGAACAAGAACCAGGAAAUCAAAUUUUAUCUUUACAUUUUUUUAUAUUUAAAAAGAAAAAGAAAAACACAAAAAUAAGAAGACAAAAGAAAAAAGAAAAAAAAAAUAAACGAAGUAAAACUAAUCCAAGUGCACGUCACAUAGCCCAUUUGCCCCACUAACUCACUUAUUGAAGACAAAAUCAGAAAAAGGAAAUAACUACCCCACAUCUGCACCACGUUCCCAUUCCCGCAUUUCCUAUUGCACGAUCAAGCACACAUGUAUGCUGACAACACAUAAGUAAUUGUACAGAGACAUACUUUUACAAUUUCAGGUUACUGCUACUCUCCAACUUUUUCUCAAAUCUAGAAAAGAAGGAUACCAACGGAGGAGAUCAGAGACGUUAAAAGACAGAGAGAACCUAUUGGACUUCAAUUACUUUACUCAUUUCCAGUCUUCUUAGUCAUAUUGGGACGCAACAUUCAAUUAUAAAGGUAAUUAUAUUCUGUCAAAUUUUCUUAUAUAGUACAAAUAUUAUAUUCUAAGUUUAGUUGUUGUUUUUGUUUUGUGGUAUAUGCUCUAAUAAGAUUGUACGAGCAGGCUGUUAUGCAUAUCAAAUAAUGUGGAGGUUUUGAUCCACUACUUGGACUGCAACAGAGAAAAGUUAUUCUCCUUUGACAUUAUUACUAAACUAGAUUAGAUUAAUUUAAUUUUCCAAAACUCAAAUUUAGAUAUCUGAAAACUAUAUCCAAAAUUAUUGUAUAUUGUAAAUACAUCUUAAAAUAUCCAUAAAUGUUUAUGUAAUUUGAAUCGAGAAAUGAAAAGAGACUUAUAUUGGAUGAUGUUUCUGUGCAUUCAGAGAUUUCUUUUCUUUGAUGAUGAGGGAAACGGAUGGCAGCACCAAGUACCAACGAAGAUAAAUUGUGAGUUCAUUGUUUCUUUGGUUUUAUGUGGAUCUCUUGAUAUAGUUAACCUUUGAUACCAACUCAAGAAUGAGACUUUGUCAUAAAUGCAUUUGGGCUAUUCAGAAAUUUAAACACCUAAUGUUCGGCAUGGUGAAACCUGAAGUUGACAACAUGAUUUGAGAAUGAAUAAUUCCAUUACACUAUUCGUUUUGAUUAAUGCCAAACGGGAAACAGAGGGCUCCCUAUCUUAGUUGGAGAAAAAAUGGUUUCUUUUAAAAACAAUGCAUCUAGGACAGAAAAUGAAAGUUAAUGUUGUGGCUAGGCGAAACCGUGAAAGUGAAUAGAUGUCCAAUAGCAUCGGAUUUGUUGCUGCUAUAGAAUGACUUAAUAUGCAAAUCAUUAGUUUAGUUUCUUUUAUUGUCAUUUACGUGAUUUCAAAAGAAAAGAAAUUACUGCCAAAAUUUUCCCAUUGAACUAUGUAUAGGUUUUUUGAUGAGUCCUACAAGUCUGAAGCCUUGAAAUGGGAAAAGAUCGACUACUCCAUCCCCUAAUGGGCUGGUGGCAAGCCUUAGUAACCCAGUAAGUAAUUGUGUUUCCUACUAUUCGUUUUGAUUAAUGCCAAACGGGAAACAGAGGGCUCCCCAUCUUAGUUGGAGAAAAAAUGGUUUCUUUUAAAAACAAUGCAUCUAGGACAGAAAAUGAAAGUUAAUGCUGUGGCUAGGCGAAACCGUGAAAGUGAAUAGAUGUCCAAUAGCAUCGGAUUUGUUGCUGCUAUAGAAUGACUUAAUAUGCAAAUCAUUAGUUUAGUUUCUUUUAUUGUCAUUUACGUGAUUUCAAAAGAAAAAAAAUUACUGCCAAAAUUUUCCCAUUGAACUAUGUAUAGGUUUUUUGAUGAGUCCUACAAGUCUGAAGCCUUGAAAUGGGAAAAGAUCGACUACUCCAUCCCCUAAUGGGCUGGUGGCAAGCCUUAGUAAGUAAUUGUGUUAUUUUUGUUUGUGCAAUAAAUUUAAGAUCGUUUGGUCUACUUAAUACUUAUUUGAUUGCUUUCAAACAGUUUUUAAUCUUUUUGUUUCAUGUUUUAGUCGAAUUAUCCCACCUGGUGGGAUUAUAUUGGGCAUGUUGUUGUUGUUUUAUUAUAGUGAUGGAAAAGUCUUCCUUCAGGGGUCUUCUAAAUGAUUUAUUUUAUCACUUAGCGUUAGAGAUUAUCUCCUCUUGAAGGGAAAUUUAAAUCUGAAAGUUUUAUAUAGAAGAUUAAUUGAUUUUUAUUGUGUUUAUGCCCUCAAUAUCAGCACUGCGGAGUGCGUACAAACUGUUUGGUAUAACAUCUAAAAUAAUUUCUCAUUCGAUCGUUGAAUACUUAUUUUUUCAUUGAAAAAGUUUGUUUGUUGAACCAAAAUAAAUUUUAGUUUCAUUCUUUGGAAAUAAUAUAGGUACUGACAACUUAGUUACCAGUUUCAAAAAAAAAAAAAAUUAUAGUUACUGACAACUUUUUGCUCACAGUGGGGUGAAAUACUUUUUUCAGUUUGUGAAUUGAGCAUUGUUUAUCUAUUGGCAAGCUUAUGGAGCGUUAACUCACGCCAGGGAUAUUGAAGUUUAAAACUUAAAUAUGUGUCGUUCACGUUUGCUUUUGCCUUUCUUUUUGUACUUAUUUUUUCUAACCUCCAAAUAUGCAGUCUUUGUCAGUAGAAUAGCUGAGGGGUUUUGCUUGGGAGUUUAAAAGCACAAAAGAUAGUGCAGGCAAUAAUUACAAUAAUUUGAGGUGUACCUCAAUUACAAAUGUAGAUCCACUUAAGAGGCAGCUGAAUUUAUCAUGUUCAUAUUAUAGGGAUUCUAGUACAUUAAAAAUAAUUUAUGUGUCAUCUGUGUAAAGUUUACAGUUUACACCAACUAACCAUUCUAUUUUUCUGUGACCGUGUUUGGUAUUGGAUUAGGCACACUGAUGGUGCAACCAGUUAGACAUUCUCCAACUGAAAACGAUAACAAAAGCUUCUCAAUUACUUUUCAUGAUCUAUAUACUUGAUGUUUUUGCGUAUACUCAGAUGUACAGAAAAGUGCUUCUAUAUUCCAUGUAACUGUAUGUUUUUUUGUCCAUUAUCUAUUGGAGGAGCAGAAACUCCAAGCUCUAAUUAGACAAAUCUACAGAGCUGAUUAUUGCAGUUGCUCGAAAGAAAUAGACUCAUCAUACACAACAACAAAUGAAAAAAGGAAAACUCGAGUUCUUCUCAGGAUCACGAAACACAAGCAAAAAAGAAAUUCACAGAAAAGUAAAUGAUCAGAUGUGACGCACAUCAUAAGAAGGGCAUCAUUUCACCAGCUCAUUUCGUGUAAUAAAAAAAAUGUUCAUGAAAGGAAGUUUGUAAAUAAACUCUUGGUGAUGGUGCAUGCAGGUUCUACAACGAUAUCUUGAAAAAUAUGCCAUUAGAGGAGACAACUGCUUGGUAUGUCAAGAGUCUAUUAUCUAUGUUUAAUUUUUUCCAGUUGAAGGGAGGGGAUGGUUCACAUGAGUUAAUACAUUGGCAAUUGAGGGGAGAGGAUGGUUUAAAUGAGUUGAUCUUCUUAUCAAUGAUCUUUUUCUUAAUUCAGAUAGUUGUAUUUAAAUACUUUUGGUGUUUGGUUUACUAUGGACUUGGUACUUUGGGUAAAUUGGUGCUCAAUUUAGUUCAGAGACACUGAUUGACUGAGCUUCGGUAGCACUUUUCUUAAUUUCUAAAUUUAUAGAGAUAGGGCUUCUUCGAUUAUCCUAUAUUUUGUGUGUAAUAUUGUUAGAAGUUCCCCUUCGAAAAAAUACAUGUUAAAAAUUAAGAAUUUUAUUGUUGAUGCAAAUGCUAGCAUUCUUAAGGA